CACAUGGGGUUUUUCAUUUUCUUCCCUCCUUUUCAGAAUUAUUCUUCCAUUUCAGGGGCACUGACAUUUAAUCCAGAGGUUUGCUUCUGUCAAUAAUCUUUCUGCAUCUUGAGGUUUCAAAUAACACCAGGAAUUCUUUCAAGUUUUAUGUGCACACCUGUAAUCCCAGAACUUGGGAGGCUGAAGUAGGAUAAUCAGUGUGAAUUGACUGGACUAAGAUGUGAAUCCGCAGUCAACCUGAACUGCAUGGGGAAAACAUGUCUCAAAGAAACAGAAAAAAUAUCAUAUUAUUGUGGAUAUCCUUGGAAGAAGAACUCAAAAGUUUGAAACUCUUAAGAUCAUACCUAUUAUGUUUCAUCUGGUGAGAAUAAGAGACCAGUAAAACUACGUUCAAGGAUAUGGAGAAAACUCAAAAAAUCUUAUUGCAAACUGUCAUAUAGAUGUAAUGCAUUGCCCACCAAAAUAUCAGUAGGAUAGCUCACAAAUGUACAGACAACAUUUCUAAAAUUCAUCUGGAAACAGAAAUGCUCUAGAUCACCAAAGACAUUGCUGGGCAACAAAGGCAAGUCAGCAAGCAUCACAAUUCCUGACUUGCUAUUAUACUAGAAAGCUACUAUUAGAAAAUCAGCAUAGUUAUGGCAGAAAAACAGACCUGAGAAUCAACCAAAAA